CUGCAGGAGAGUGGCCACUCAUUGUUCCACAACUAAUAACUACAGGAAAAGAGGUGGCAAGUGAAAGAUUAGGCAGUGCAACAACAUAGUCAAUGCUUAAGUUCUCCUUACAAAGCUUCCUCUUCUUCACUGUAGAUAAUGAAACCUGUGUGUCAAGAAUUAUUCACAGAAUGUAGUGUUUGUUAAUGAUAUAUCCAUCAGACAUGUAUAUUCAUUUUGAGUGUCACACAUUAACAGGAAAAGCGGACUUUGAUGUAUUGC